GGGGCUGACCGGUUUUGACAGCGGGUAGAAGUGGUUUGUAAGCAUGCAGUGCGUCGUUGGCCGGCACUUUAAUCUCGGAUGACAAAAAUUUAGUUGGCGAAAAUAAUUACGCUCUCGCUGCGUGAUCGAAGUAUAGUAGAUUGUCGCUUAAUCCUUACACCAGGUGUUUGGACGAGAUAUCACCCGGAGGCUCUGGCUUCGAAGCAUUCCGAUCCGGUGGUACAGGAAUAUCGGAGAUAGCCUGAAAGAAGUCCCGGACUUCAGGUGAAAUAAAGGGAAUAAGUUUAAUGUUGGUCGCUUCGGUCUUGCAUUAAGUCGAAAAUCAAAGCGAAGAUAAGCAUGUAGAAAGCAAGUUAGUUCCUCGUUUGGACGAGAGUUCGAAUCUCUCCAGCUCCACAU
rnacentral:tmRNA from 1 species